UGAGUAAUGUCUGGGAAACUGCCCGAUGGAGGGGGAUAACUACUGGGAACGGUAGCUAAUACCGCAUAACGUCUUCGGACCAAAGUGGGGGACCUUCGGGCCUCACACCAUCGGAUGUGCCCAGAUGGGAUUAGCUAGUAGGUGGGGUAAUGGCUCACCUAGGCGACGAUCCCUAGCUGGUCUGAGAGGAUGACCAGCCACACUGGAACUGAGACACGGUCCAGACUCCUACGGGAGGCAGCAGAGGGGAAUAUUGCACAAUGGGCGCAAGCCUGAUGCAGCCAUGCCGCGUGUAUGAAGAAGGCCUUCGGGUUGUAAAGUACUUUCAGUGGGGAGGAAGGCGUUAAGGUUAAUAACCUUGACGAUUGACGUUACCCGCAGGAGAAGCACCGGCUAACUCCGUGCCAGCAGCCGCGGUAAUACGGAGGGUGCAAGCGUUAAUCGGAAUUACUGGGCGUAAAGCGCACGCAGGCGGUCUGUCAAGUCGGAUGUGAAAUCCCCGGG
rnacentral:rRNA from 1 species